rnacentral:rRNA from 1 species
UACGUAGGGUGCAAGCGUUGUCCGGAAUUAUUGGGCGUAAAGAGCUCGUAGGCGGUCUGUCGCGUCGGCUGUGAAAACCCGGAGCUCAACUCCGGGCCUGCAGUCGAUACGGGCAGGCUCGAGAGUUCGGCAGGGGAGACUGGAAUUCCUGGUGUAGCGGUGAAAUGCGCAGAUAUCAGGAGGAACACCGGUGGCGAAGGCGGGUCUCUGGACCGAUACUGACACUGAGGAGCGAAAGCGUGGGGAGCGAACAGG